AUCAACUUUCGAUGGUAGGAUAGAGGCCUACCAUGGUGGUAACGGGUAACGGGGUGUUAGGGCACGACACCGGAGAGGGAGCCUGAGAAACGGCUACCACAUCCAAGGAUGGCAGCAGGCGCGCAAAUUACCCAAUCCCGACACGGGGAGGUAGUGACAAUAAAUAACAAUACGGGGUUCUUUCGGAUCUCGUAAUUGGAAUGAGUACAAUUUAAAUCUCUUAACGAGGAACAAUUGGAGGGCAAGUCUGGUGCCAGCAGCCGCGGUAAUUCCAGCUCCAAUAGCGUAUAUUAAAGUUGUUGCAGUUAAAAAGCUCGUAGUUGAAUUUCGGGAUCAAUAUGUUGGUCGUGCCUUGGUACGUACUGGCAUUAUCGAUUCCUACCUUCUGAAGAACCUCGAUGUCAUUAGUUUGGUGUCUUGGGGAAUCAGGACUGUUACUUUGAAAAAAUUAGAGUGUUUAAAGCAGGCUCGCGCUUGAAUACAUUAGCAUGGAAUAAUGAAAUAGGACGUUUGAUCCUAUUUUGUUGGUUUCUAGGACCGCCGUAAUGAUUAAUAGGGAUAGUUGGGGGCAUUAGUAUUCAAUUGUCAGAGGUGAAAUUCUUGGAUUUAUUGAAGACUAACUACUGCGAAAGCAUUUGCCAAGGAUGUUUUCAUUAAUCAAGAACGAAAGUUAGGGGAUCGAAGACGAUUAGAUACCGUCGUAGUCUUAACCAUAAACUAUGCCGACUAGGGAUCGGAUGAUGUUAAUUUUUUAAUGACUCAUUCGGCGCCUUACGGGAAACCAAAGUGUUUGGGUUC
rnacentral:rRNA from 1 species